rnacentral:rRNA from 1 species
GGUUAAGUUAAUAAGGGCGCACGGUGGAUGCCUUGGCACUAGGAGCCGACGAAGGACGUGACAAACGACGAUAUGCCUUGGGUAGCUGUAAGUAAGCGAUGAUCCAGGGAUUUCCGAAUGGGGGAACCCAACAGGUAGUACCUGUUACCCACAUCUGUUAAGGAUGUGAGGAGGAAGACGCAGUGAACUGAAACAUCUAAGUAGCUGCAGGAAGAGAAAGCAAAAGCGAUUGCCUUAGUAGCGGCGAGCGAAACGGCAGAAGGGCAAACCGAAGAGUUUACUCUUCGGGGUUGUAGGACUGCAAUGUGGACUCAAAGAUUAUAGAAGAAUGAUUUGGGAAGAUCAGCCAAAGAGAGUAAUAGCCUCGUAUUUAAAAUAGUCUUUGUACCUAGCAGUAUCCUGAGUACGGCGGGACACGUGAAAUCCCGUCGGAAUCUGGGAGGACCAUCUCCCAACCCUAAAUACUCCCUAGUGACCGAUAGUGAACCAGUACCGUGAGGGAAAGGUGAAAAGCACCCCGGGAGGGGAGUGAAAUAGAACCUGAAACCGUGUGCCUACAACAAGUUCGAGCCCGUUAAUGGGUGAGAGCGUGCCUUUUGUAGAAUGAACCGGCGAGUUACGUUAUGAUGCGAGGUUAAGUUGAAGAGACGGAGCCGUAGGGAAACCGAGUCUGAAUAGGGCGCCUUAGUAUCAUGACGUAGACCCGAAACCAUGUGACCUACCCAUGAGCAGGUUGAAGGUGCGGUAAGACGCACUGGAGGACCGAACCAGGGCACGUUGAAAAGUGCUUGGAUGACUUGUGGGUAGCGGAGAAAUUCCAAACGAACUUGGAGAUAGCUGGUUCUCUCCGAAAUAGCUUUAGGGCUAGCGUCGACAUUAGAGAUUCUUGGAGGUAGAGCACUGUUUGGGUGAGGGGUCCAUCC